rnacentral:rRNA from 1 species
GAUGAACGCUGGCGGCGUGCCUAAUACAUGCAAGUCGAGCGAACAGAUGAGGAGCUUGCUCCUCUGACGUUAGCGGCGGACGGGUGAGUAACACGUGGAUAACCUACCUAUAAGACUGGGAUAACUUCGGGAAACCGGAGCUAAUACCGGAUAAUAUAUUGAACCGCAUGGUUCAAUAGUGAAAGACGGUUUUGCUGUCACUUAUAGAUGAUCCGCGCCGCAUUAGCUAGUUGGUAAGGUAACGGCUUACCAAGGCAACGAUGCGUAGCCGACCUGAGAGGGUGAUCGGCCACACUGGAACUGAGACACGGUCCAGACUCCUACGGGAGGCAGCAGUAGGGAAUCUUCCGCAAUGGGCGAAAGCUUGACGGAGCAACGCCGCGUGAGUGAUGAAGGUCUUCGGAUCGUAAAACUCUGUUAUUAGGGAAGAACAAAUGUGUAAGUAACUAUGCACGUCUUGACGGUACCUAAUCAGAAAGCCACGGCUAACUACGUG